GCCGGCUAGCCCGUCAUGAAUAUAGCUCCCAGGACUCUGCCGUAACUGUGGGCGAAUGUUGAUAUUUAAGGGUAAAACUAAAGUUACCAGCUAAAAACACGUAACCUAACCUACUUUAUAGGCCGUUCCCUUUAUCGUCGCGUCAGACUCGUUGCGCGUUCAUGUAGCAGCGCGCAUAGUUAAGCGGAGCAGCAGCGCGUGAAGUGCAGCUACCGGAGCUGCGGCAGGUAGAUCAGGGACAGACGAGCGGCGGGUUCAAAGCUCACAAACUCCAAGUAGAAACGCUUCCACUGAGCUCAAGUUGACUGUUUGUGACUCGUUUUUUUUUCACGGACUGUUUAUUUUCCCUCCACGUUGAGCCGUUCUUUGUUACUUCAGAGGAGAAAGAAGGAGCAGUUAGGAGUCCUCUGCCAUGGAAAAUUUGUCCCCAAGUUGUUGUUGAUGCCGCCGCACUUGUUUGGCUGUCAUUCAGGACCUCCUGUAUGUGGCAACAGCUCGACACACGGGGAAGUUCUACGGAGAACAUCGUGACCUGCCGUCGAUCAGUCUUUACAUGCCGCAUGAAAUCCUAACAGCAACAUGCAAGAGCAUGUUUUUGUCUACAAGUCUGGGCAAAUUAAAUUAACUGAGUAAUGCUCACAGCUUACGGUCAGCCAUGCAGCAAUUCCCAUAUUUGUACUUAAAGCUUUUGCAGUUCUUCUGCAUAAAUUAAACAAUCUGCACACUUAAUUUGGCCGAAAAGACCAAGAAAAGAAAGAUUUGCCCUACUGUGUGUGCUGCUUGUUUGCUGUGUGAGAGAUUGUUCUCUAAGGAGAGUUUGAAGUUGUUUAUUAGGACUAUAGACUGAUUGCACACAUUGCAGAUGUGUCUCAUGCAACCAGCAACUGGUUUAUCAUCUUCUUGACCAUAUGGCAAGCAGUAUGUUGAAACACCAGCCUUCCCCAUCCCACUUCUGUCUAUUUAUGGUGCAAUAGAUUAGUUUAAUAUGCCUCCUGUGUAAUGGCCACACUGCCUGGCUGCAGGGUUGAUUAGCUGGACAAUAUUAGCGUAGAUGAUUAGCGCAAUGUUUUUUUUCUUCCACUUUCAGACAAAGACCAGUGACAGUUUCAGCGUGCAAUUGUGCAUGU
ensembl:lncRNA